rnacentral:lncRNA from 1 species
AUGAAUAAAUGGUUGAAUUCAGCAUCAUGUGUUCAGUACAGAGACAGAAACUGCAUAGGAAGCUUAAGCUUCAUUUGCAUUACUUCCCUUUUGUUAUUUUGUAAGUUUUGAUCCCUCCACCUGAAGGGCUAUUCUGGACAGAAGAGAAGUUGUUAUUAUUUGUAUUGUUUUUAGCUUGCUAAGAAUAAGUAUUUAGCUUCUAAUAUAAUUGGUCUAGAAAAACAUAAGGGUUUUGGUUAAAUUCCUUCUUAUUGUAUGUUGUAAUAUAGACAGGGAAGUGUCUAAAAUAGAUUAAAAUUACACAAACUCUGGGAAUAAAAUCUCUCUUGGGCAGGCUUAGGAAAAACAAAACUGAAAAUAUUUAGUGGCCUAGAGAGCAGAAGCCUAGGACCCACCUUCUAUCCCAACCCUGCCCAGAUCCACCCUCUGCUGAAUCUUGUCCAGGUCUGACCCCACACUGAAAUCUCUCACAGAACUGCUUAGAGGAGAUAAGAGUUUGGGGUGGCUACUCCUACUGCCACUCCAGAGCUGGUGCUUCCAAUUUCCUGAAACAGAAAAGCAGAUAAAUGGGGAAAAGCAAUAUACUUUUGUGCCUUAAAUUCUUUUUUAUAAAAUUAAAACCAGUGUUUCUAGA